CUUGACAUCCAGAGAAUUUAGCAGAGAUGCUUUAGUGCCUUCGGGAACUCUGAGACAGGUGCUGCAUGGCUGUCGUCAGCUCGUGUUGUGAAAUGUUGGGUUAAGUCCCGCAACGAGCGCAACCCUUAUCCUUUGUUGCCAGCACGUAAUGGUGGGAACUCAAAGGAGACUGCCGGUGAUAAACCGGAGGAAGGUGGGGACGACGUCAAGUCAUCAUGGCCCUUACGAGUAGGGCUACACACGUGCUACAAUGGCGCAUACAAAGAGAAGCGACCUCGCGAGAGCAAGCGGACCUCGUAAAGUGCGUCGUAGUCCGGAUUGGAGUCUGCAACUCGACUCCAUGAAGUCGGAAUCGCUAGUAAUCGUAAAUCAGAAUGUUACGGUGAAUACGUUCCCGGGCCUUGUACACACCGCCCGUCACACCAUGGGAGUGGGUUGCAAAAGAAGUAGAUAGCUUAACCUUCGGGAGGGCGUUUACCACUUUGUGAUUCAUGACUGGGGUGAAGUCGUAACAAGGUAAGCGUAGUGCU
rnacentral:rRNA from 1 species